rnacentral:lncRNA from 1 species
UGGUCCUGCUGCCCAGCACACCUCCAAAGCUGCCAGAUCCCUGAGAGGGUUUCCCAGCGGUGUGAACCCUGUCUUGAUGGACCGCAUCCAAAUACAUCCGCAUCUCAUUCGCGUCUUUAAGCGGUACCUUAUCGAUGGUCAGGAAGCUGGUAUCCUUCAGCGUCAGCAUCAGGCAGCACAGCUUUCUGCCAUUGGGUCGUAAGGUCACAGACUUAAUGUUAUGGCUUAGCUGGAAGGUCUUGGGGAUGCCCCCCACGUUGUAGUGGACCACCAGGCUGACUUUGUUGUCCUUCUCCACGAUCUCGAAGCUGCCCUCCUUCCACUUGGUGAUGCCGGUCUGCAUGCUGCGCAUCCGCACGGGGCCGUGCACUUUCAGCGGGGCCAUGGCGGGGCCUCACCGCGGCCGGCACGGCCUCGGAACCUGCGGCCCGCGGAGGGGCGCGGCGGCGGAUGGCGGGAACCGGCUCCCCGCGCG